GUCGGGGGCGAGCCAUGCUGCCUAGCAAUGCUCACUGGGCUUGAAGAGAGAUUGGCGCAUUGGAGGAAAAUGAGAGAGAGAGAAUGAGAGAGAGAGAAUUACCAAGAAGGAAGAAAUAUGGGCCUACUUGAAGCAUUUAGAAGCAGACAAUUGUUCAUUUCAUUUGGAUGAUUAGAUUUAUCGUCAUGCCCAUGUGCUCAGAGAGGGGAGAAAAGACUGGAAGAGAAGAAUGGGGGAUACUUUUUUUUUUUAUAACUUAUCAAUCUAUUUUCCCUUAUUUCCCUUAUUUUCCCUUCCCCAAAAUACUAAUCAAAGAAAUUGCC